UAAAAUUGGAGCACGAUUGAUAGUUUGAUUUAUUUGUUCAAUGUGCCUCUUGUAUUCUGCCAGAAAUCGAGCUUUGGUCGAUUUCUCAUAUUCUGGUUUCAUUCCUUUGAAAAUUGAUAUCCUUUAGCUUUCUUAUUCAAUUGAGCUUUAUAUUACUGCUUUGAAUGCUUGUAUGCUCUUGUCCUUAAAAUUAUUGCAUUCUUGAAAACUAUUGUGUAACGUUUAUGCUAUAUC
rnacentral:lncRNA from 1 species